CGGGAGUAACAACCUGGAAACAGAUGCUAAUACCGGAUAAUAACAGAUGAUGCCUAUCAACUGUUUAAAAGAUGGUUCUGCUAUCACUCUUGGAUGGACCUGCGGUGCAUUAGCUAGUUGGUAGGGUAACGGCCUACCAAGGCGAUGAUGCAUAGCCGAGUUGAGAGACUGAUCGGCCACAUUGGGACUGAGACACGGCCCAAACUCCUACGGGAGGCAGCAGGU
rnacentral:rRNA from 1 species